rnacentral:rRNA from 1 species
UACGUAGGGGGCAAGCGUUGUCCGGAAUCAUUGGGCGUAAAGAGCGUGUAGGCGGCCCGGUAAGUCCGCUGUGAAAGUCCAGGGCUCAACCCUGGGAUGCCGGUGGAUACUGUCGGGCUAGAGUCCGGAAGAGGAGUGUGGAAUUCCUGGUGUAGCGGUGAAAUGCGCAGAUAUCAGGAGGAACACCAAUGGCGAAGGCAGCACUCUGGGACGUGACUGACGCUGAGGCGCGAAAGCGUGGGGAGCAAACAGG